rnacentral:rRNA from 1 species
CAUCACUACGCUAGAUGCAUAUCAAUAAGCGGAGGAAAAGAAACUAACAAGGAUUCCCUUAGUAACGGCGAGUGAAGCGGGAAGAGCUCAAAUUUGAAAUCUUCAAGGUUUUACCUUGACGAAUUGUAGUUUAAAGAAGUGUUUUCUGUUGGAGUUUUGGUAAAAGUUCUUUGGAAUAGGACAUCAUAGAGGGUGAGAAUCCCGUAUUUGACCAUUAUUUUCAGCUGCGUGAUACACUUUCAAAGAGUCGGAUUGUUUGGGAAUGCAGUCCAAAAUGGGUGGUAAAUUUCAUCUAAAGCUAAAUAUUGGCGAGAGACCGAUAGCGAACAAGUACCGUGAGGGAAAGAUGAAAAGAACUUUGAAAAGAGAGUUAAACAGUACGUGAAAUUGUCAAAAGGGAAGCGUUUGACACCAGUGUUGUUUUCUCGAAAAUCAAUUAAAAAUGAUGGGAUUUUGUGUUGUAUUGACUUUAUCAGCUUUCUGCACUUUUUUCUUAUCUUUUUUAAUGCACUUUUCGUUUAACAAGUCAACAUCAAUUUCUUUUGUUGUAAAAGAGUCAUUGGAAGGUGGCUUUUUCUUCGGAAAAAGUGUUUAUAGCCUUUGGCUUCUGCAAUCGGAGAGAUUGAGGUCUGCAGCGUAGAUCCUUCGGGGUUAGAUACAUUUGUGCUAAGCUAUAGUUCUUUAUAGACAACUUGUUGACUAUAAUCAAUCCUGUAACUUACUCGCUUAUGCUAUUUUACCUACGCUUAGGAUGUUGAUAUGCAUGACUGAUAU